rnacentral:rRNA from 1 species
AUUGAACGCUGGCGGCAUGCUUUACACAUGCAAGUCGAACGGCAGCACGGGCUUCGGCCUGGUGGCGAGUGGCGAACGGGUGAGUAAUGCAUCGGAACGUGCCCAUUUGUGGGGGAUAACUACGCGAAAGCGUGGCUAAUACCGCAUACGCCCUGAGGGGGAAAGCGGGGGAUUCUUCGGAACCUCGCGCAAUUGGAGCGGCCGAUGUCAGAUUAGCUUGUUGGUGAGGUAAAGGCUCACCAAGGCGACGAUCUGUAGCGGGUCUGAGAGGAUGAUCCGCCACACUGGGACUGAGACACGGCCCAGACUCCUACGGGAGGCAGCAGUGGGGAAUUUUGGACAAUGGGGGCAACCCUGAUCCAGCCAUGCCGCGUGAGUGAAGAAGGCC